GCUCUCGGGUGACGAGCGGCGGACGGGUGAGUAAUGUCUGGGAAACUGCCUGAUGGAGGGGGAUAACUACUGGAAACGGUAGCUAAUACCGCAUAAUGUCGCAAGACCAAAGUGGGGGACCUUCGGGCCUCAUGCCAUCAGAUGUGCCCAGAUGGGAUUAGCUAGUAGGUGGGGUAACGGCUCACCUAGGCGACGAUCCCUAGCUGGUCUGAGAGGAUGACCAGCCACACUGGAACUGAGACACGGUCCAGACUCCUACGGGAGGCAGCAGUGGGGAAUAUUGCACAAUGGGCGCAAGCCUGAUGCAGCCAUGCCGCGUGUGUGAAGAAGGCCUUCGGGUUGUAAAGCACUUUCAGCGGGGAGGAAGGCGUUAAGGUUAAUAACCUUGGCGAUUGACGUUACCCGCAGAAGAAGCACCGGCUAACUCCGUGCCAGCAGCCGCGGUAAUACGGAGGGUGCAAGCGUUAAUCGGAAUUACUGGGCGUAAAGCGCACGCAGGCGGUCUGUCAAGUCGGAUGUGAAAUCCCCGGGCUCAACCUGGGAACUGCAUUCGAAACUGGCAGGCUAG
rnacentral:rRNA from 1 species